GGGGGUAGCUCAGUGGUAGAGCGCAUGCUGAGCACGCAUGAGGUCCUGGGUUCAAUCCCCAGUGCCUCCA
rfam:Camelus ferus unplaced genomic scaffold scaffold715, whole genome shotgun sequence.